ACCAGCGUGAAUUCCUCAAUGGCCAAUGUCACAGAAGUUGCUUGUCGAAAAAUGUAGAGUUUUAUAAGCAUUGACGUUGUGGACAGAAAGAGGCCAACUAAACUUCAGUCCCUAGGUAAGAUUGGAUCUUUAUCCACACUUGAUAUCUCAUUAUUGUGAUCCAGGUUCCUCUCUGCUUGAUGUCUUUCCAAGAUUCCCCUGUAUUUGUUUUAUCCUUGACAGGCUAGUGAACAUCUACCAGCACUUGUAUCAAAAGGUUUGGAAAGGGAACAGCUGAACUUAAUCUUCAGAUAAAUGCAGCAUACCGUGACCACAGAUAAAUGGUCUCUCCCGUGAACAGAAAAGCCAUGCCUGUAGCUCUGAAAAGCUUUCGAUUUGGGUUUCUCCCUAGGGAAUAGUGAGGAUCGUGUUGUUGUGGUUGUGAUCCUGUAUAGUGUGGUGAGCUGGGCUGCGGACACUCUCAGGGCAGAGGCAAACUCCAUCCAAACAAGGAAGGGGAGGAAGAUGCAUUGCAAAAUUAUGGCUGGGUCACGUGAGUGGAGAAUACAGGCACAGAAAGUUUUUGACUGGAAGGCCCAGCUCAGAAAUGUGUUGUCUGCAUUUUAGUGCUUCUGCAUCGUGAGUUGCUCAGUGCAUUUACACUUCCUG
rnacentral:lncRNA from 1 species